CGCGGCCUAUCAGCUUGUUGGUGGGGUGAUGGCCUACCAAGGCGACGACGGGUAGCCGGCCUGAGAGGGCGACCGGCCACACUGGGACUGAGACACGGCCCAGACUCCUACGGGAGGCAGCAGUGGGGAAUCUUGCGCAAUGGGCGAAAGCCUGACGCAGCGACGCCGCGUGAGGGAUGACGGCCUUCGGGUUGUAAACCUCUUUCAGCCCUGACGAAGCGAAAGUGACGGUAGGGGCAGAAGAAGCACCGGCCAACUACGUGCCAGCAGCCGCGGUAAUACGUAGGGUGCAAGCGUUGUCCGGAAUUAUUGGGCGUAAAGAGCUCGUAGGUGGCCUGUCGCGUCGGCUGUGAAAACUCGGGGCUCAACUCCGAGCUUGCAGUCGAUACGGGCAGGCUAGAGUGCGGCAGGGGAGACUGGAAUUCCUGGUGUAGCGGUGAAAUGCGCAGAUAUCAGGAGGAACACCGGUGGCGAAGGCGGGUCUCUGGGCCGAUACUGACACUGAGGAGCGAAAGCGUGGGGAGCGAACAGGAUUAGAUACCCUGGUAGUCCACGCCGUAAACGGUGGGCGCUAGGUGUGGGUUCCUUCCACGGAAUCCGUGCCGUAGCUAACGCAUUAAGCGCCCCGCCUGGGGAGUACGG
rnacentral:rRNA from 1 species